rfam:Triticum aestivum genome assembly, contig: Triticum_aestivum_CS42_TGACv1_scaffold_602693_7DL
ACUCAGUUGGUAGAGUACAAAGCUCUUAACCUUAUGGACGUGGGUUCAAGCCCCAU